UAGCUGCCUGUGCUUGUCUCUUAAAAGAACCUGUUAGAAGCAGAUCUCUGCGCAGGUGCACAGAGUCCAUUUCCCUGUUCAGGUACCAUCAGGUGAUGCCUCCUGGAUUUUAGGAAUAGCAGGAUGGACUAGGUUUAGCUCAGAGCUGGCUGAAGAUGACUUUUAGUGAAUGAAAAUGUGAAAUUGAAUGAAAACAUUCGUGAGUAAUAUUUAUUUUCACUCUAAAGGCACAAAUAGCAGAGAAAAGUACACUUGGUUAAGUAAAGUAUUUUCAUUAUUCAAUACACAGUGGGAGAUCAAUCUUUGAAUUUUACAUAUAAAUAGUUUUUUAAAAAUGUUAUAUAAAAU